GACGAACGCUGGCGGCGUGCUUAACACAUGCAAGUCGAACGGAAAGGCCCUGCUUUUGUGGGGUGCUCGAGUGGCGAACGGGGGAGUAACACGUGAGUAACCUGCCCUUGACUUUGGGAUAACUUCAGGAAACUGGGGCUAAUACCGGAUAGGAGCUCCUGCUGCAUGGUGGGGGUUGGAAAGUUUCGGCGGUUGGGGAUGGACUGGCGGCUUAUCAGCUUGUUGGUGGGGUAGUGGCUUACCAAGGCUUUGACGGGUAGCCGGCCUGAGAGGGUGACCGGCCACAUUGGGACUGAGAUACGGCCCAGACUCCUACGGGAGGCAGCAGUGGGGAAUAUUGCACAGUGGGCGGAAGCCUGAUGCAGCAACGCCGCGUGCGGAAUGACGGCCUUCGGGUUGUAAACCGCUUUCGCCUGUGACGAAGCGUGAGUGACGGUAAUGGGUAAAGAAGCACCGGCUAACUACGUG
rnacentral:rRNA from 1 species